UCCCAACUUAAUCGCGCCACAAUAGCCCGUUCUUGAUUUGCUCUCCAGAACACACACCUAUUCAAAUGGAUUCCUUCAAUCUACACUCUUCAAAAAAUUUCGCCAAAUAGUUAUAGAUUCUUGAACAAACUGGUUCAUUUGAGAAGCAAAAGAAUUAAAUAUAACAAAAACAGAAUCAGUUUUUUUUUCUUUUUUUGAAGAAG
rnacentral:misc_RNA from 1 species